AUGAGGAGGAAUUUAGAGAGCAACCAUAUCUCUGAAAUUGCCAAGAAAUAUUUCGAUAACUUACUCACUCCUAAGGUUGGAAAUUACGAACCAGUGGCUUCCUGUAUCAGAACUGUGAUUUCCAACCAGGACAAUGAAAACCUACUGAAGCCAAUAACGAAAGAAGAAGUCUAUGCAAGUGUUUUUGAAAUGAACCCUGACAAAUCCCUCGGACCUGAUGGUUUCAACCCGAUUUUUUCCAUAACUACUGGGAUGUCUGUGGUGAUAUAG